CGUCUGCUCCUCCCCUGAUCGCCGUGGAUCCUCGCGCGCCGGGCGCGUCUGGCCCCCUCCUCCGUUGCGCCCCGCGGGGACAUUCACGAGCGCGCGCACCUCCUCGCACAGAGGAACCCGGGGUUGGGAGGCUCCGAGCGAGCUGCGAUUGGCUGACGUGGAGGCUGCGCGUCUGGCCUGAGAAACUCUGGGCGAGAGCGCAGAGUCUGCUCCCGGGGCUGUGCAGGGCGCAUCUCAGCCUCAAAUCUUGGCGCAAAAACCAGAGACAUUGCCAGAGCAAACAAGAACAGAAGUGCAAAUGGAGGACUGGUCAAAAGAAACCUUCAUUGUCUAUAUUUUAUAAUCAGUCGAUAUAUUUCAGCAUCAGGACAGUGCUGCAUUAGUCCAGGUAAGAAGAGCGAAGACAAAACAAAAAUUUUCAUUAAAAAACAAGUCCUAGAUCUCCUGAGAAUGCAGUGAAGACUAGCGUCGGAGACUUCCUCUGCAUUUUUAAUAGACCAUUGGUCUCUAAUAGGUUCUCUUCUUUACCUUUUUCUUUUUUAAAAGUCUCUGCCUCUCAC
rnacentral:lncRNA from 1 species